CUAAGUUAAGUCUCGCGAGAUGUGACUAUAUUUAAAUCACUCGAGUGGCGGCUGUCGGUCCGUGCAGUCGUAGUUUUCUGCCUCGCUGCCCAACAGUUUUUGUUAGCUGUAGCGUCGUCAUAUAGCGAAGUAAGAAUGGCUGUGGUGCUAAAACCCAGGACCAGUUUAAUUGGAAAAAGUUUGGUGCCAGUAGUUUUGAAGUUGAAAGCUUCAGAUGGUAAUUCGGAGGAUUUGACGUUGGCCAGGUUGAAAAGAGGAUAUCCUUUAGAGGAUUACUCAUUGGCUGACCUCAGAACAGAGUUUGAAAAAUUGACAGGAGAGUCAGUCAAGGAUAUUCUGAUGUUGGCAGGAAAGGAGGAUAAUAUUGAGACUGUAAGAAUCCUCAUGAGUUACACUAUUGAACAUGCCAAUACGGUAGGGGCUCCUAGGGGCCAGGUACU